UGAAAAGCGUUGACGAGAAUGAGUAGGCAUUUAUCUUUUAGUCAGAGAGGAAGUGGUUGGUGAGAACUUCUUAAAAGAGAUGUUGAAGCUAUCUUUGAGCUAUAAUUUUUAGAGUGAUGUAGUUUUACAUAAUUAGGGUGGUACCGCGGAGCAUAGGAUUUCGUCCCUUUU
rnacentral:ncRNA from 1 species